GACUGGAGGUUCCUCCCGUGUGGCAGGCAGGCCGUGACAGCUCCGAGAUGCUCUUUGACCUGAGAGGAAGAGAAAACAACAUCAAUGGCCACCAGGGACGCUGGAGGUGUCGGUGGAUGAAGGCGCGCUGCCAAUAACACCAGACGUGUGUGUGUAUACACUGUAGGUCCCAUCCCUCUGCAUGACUGGCCCUCUCUGACAAGUGGAAAUCACACAGAUCCUACUGGCAAAAGAUGGAAAGUGAAGAAGACUUCAGAAACGUGUACCCUACAGCUAUCAGUGUCCUGAACUCAAGAAUGAAGACACCAAGCAUAUCUUCUUCGCUAUAUACUAUAAAAACUAGUGAGAAC